CUUAAUAGGAGUUUGGUAUCAAGGCAAGAGAGGAAGCUGACUCCGGCUUGGUGGCCCCUAGAUUGACUGCCUGUUCAGAAGUCUCUGAGUCACCUGGAUGUCACAGGACAGGUGAAGAAGAUGGGUUUGGCCUUCAAAGUCAAAAGAUCAAGACAGUCAACAUCCGAAAGUGGAACCAGUAUUGGAUUUUGUAGCCAACCAGUCUAGAAUUGAGUUCUUGAAAGAGGAAAGACCUUCAGGACCCAGAUAUGAAUUGGACUAGGUGAUUUCCGAGGCUCCAUCCCACUGAGAUUCUGUAAUUCCAGGAAUCUGUUGAAGCUGGUGUCUGCUCAGGCACCACCUCCUUUAGGAAGCCUUCCUGCUUCACUUUCAUGUCCUCUGAAUGAAUUAAUGAACUGUUACUCAAUCUUGACUCCCUAACUUCUGCUUACCUUUU
rnacentral:lncRNA from 1 species